rnacentral:rRNA from 1 species
ACGGGAGGCAGCAGUGGGGAAUAUUGGGCAAUGGGCGCAAGCCUGACCCAGCCAUGCCGCGUGAAGGAAUAAGGCCCUAUGGGUCGUAAACUUCUUUUGUGGUGGAGCAAUAAGGUGCACGUGUGCAUCGAUGAGAGUACAUCACGAAUAAGCAUCGGCUAACUCCGUGCCAGCAGCCGCGGUAAUACGGAGGAUGCAAGCGUUAUCCGGAUUUAUUGGGUUUAAAGGGUGCGUAGGCUGUUCUUCAAGUCAGAGGUGAAAUACCCGAGCCUAACUCGGGAACUGCCUUUGAUACUGGAGGGCUUGAAUACUGUUGCCGUGGGAGGAAUGAGUAGUGUAGCGGUGAAAUGCAUAGAUAUUACUCAGAACACCGAUUGCGAAGGCAUCUCACGAAGCAGCGAUUGACGCUGAGGCACGAAAGCGUGGGGAUCAAACAGGAUUAGAUACCCUGGUA